rnacentral:rRNA from 1 species
CCUACGGGUGGCAGCAGUCGAGAAUCUUUCACAAUGGGCGAAACCCUGAUGGAGCGACGCCGCGUGGGGGAAUGAAGGUCUCCGGUUUGUAAACUCCUGUAAUGGGGGAGAAAAAUAAGACGGUAGUACAACAAGAGGCAGAGACGGCUAACUCGGUGCCAGCCGCCGCGGUACUACGGAGGGCGCAAGCGUUGUUCGGAAUCACGGGGAGUAAAGCGUGCGUAGGCUGUUUCGUAAGUCGUGUGUGAAAGCCGCAGGCUCAACACGCGGACUGCACAUGAUACUGUGUGACUAGAGUACUGGAGAGGGAACCGGAAUUCUCGGUGUAGCGGUGAAAUGCGUAGAUAUUGGGAGGAACACUCGUGGCGAAGGCGGGUUCCUGGACAUUAACUGACGCUGAGGCUCGAAGGCCAGGGGAGCGAAAAGGAUUAGAUACCCCGGUAGUC